AUUGAACGCUGGCGGCAGGCCUAACACAUGCAAGUCGAGCGGAUGAAGGGAGCUUGCUCCUGGAUUCAGCGGCGGACGGGUGAGUAAUGCCUAGGAAUCUGCCUGGUAGUGGGGGCUAACGUCCGGAAACGGGCGCUAAUACCGCAUACGUCCUGCGGGAGAAAGUGGGGGAUCUUCGGACCUCACGCUAUCAGAUGAGCCUAGGUCGGAUUAGCUAGUUGGUGGGGUAAAGGCCUACCAAGGCGACGAUCCGUAACUGGGCUGAGAGGAUGAUCAGUCACACUGGAACUGAGACACGGUCCAGACUCCUACGGGAGGCAGCAGUGGGGAAUAUUGGACAAUGGGCGAAAGCCUGAUCCAGCCAUGCCGCGUGUGUGAAGAAGGUCUUCGGAUUGUAAAGCACUUUAAGUUGGGAGGAAGGGCAGUAAGUUAAAACCUUGCUGUUUUGACGGUACCAACAGAAUAAGCACCGGCUAACUUCGUG
rnacentral:rRNA from 1 species